rnacentral:rRNA from 1 species
CAAGACUUGACAUCGUAUGACCGCCAUAGAGAUAUGGAAUCCCUUCGGGGCAUAUAGACAGGUGGUGCAUGGUUGUCGUCAGCUCGUGCCGUGAGAUGUUAGGUUAAGUCCUGCAACGAGCGCAACCCUUAUGAACAGUUGCCAAUAUUAAGUUAGGAACUCUGUUCAGACUGCCGAGGUUAACUCGGAGGAAGGUGGGGAUGACGUCAAAUCAUCAUGCCCCUUACGUCUUGGGCUACACACGUGCUACAAUGGCUACUACAAAGGGCAGCGAGCUGGUAACAGUAAGCGAAUCUCAAAAAAGUAGUCUCAGUUCGGAUUGUGGGCUGCAACCCGCCCACAUGAAGUUGGAGUUGCUAGUAAUCCCGAAUCAGAAUGUCGGGGUGAAUGCGUUCCC